GUUGACCUCGGAUCAAGUAGGACUACCCGC
rnacentral:rRNA from 1 species